rnacentral:rRNA from 1 species
UACGUAGGGGGCAAGCGUUAUCCGGAUUUACUGGGUGUAAAGGGAGCGCAGGCGGUCUGGCAAGUCUGAUGUGAAAUCCCGGGGCUCAACUCCGGAAUUGCAUUGGAAACUGUCAGACUAGAGUGCCGGAGAGGUAAGUGGAAUUCCUAGUGUAGCGGUGAAAUGCGUAGAUAUUAGGAGGAACACCAGUGGCGAAGGCGGCUUACUGGACGGUAACUGACGCUGAGGCUCGAAAGCGUGGGGAGCAAACA